UACGUAGGGGGCUAGCGUUGUCCGGAAUCAUUGGGCGUAAAGAGCGUGUAGGCGGCCCGGUAAGUCCGCUGUAAAAGUCAAAGGCUCAACCUUUGAAUGUCAGUGGAUACUGCCGGGCUAGAGUCCGGAAGAGGCGAGUGGAACUCCUGGUGUAGCGGUGGAAUGCGCAGAUAUCAGGAGGAACACCGGUGGCGAAGGCGGUUCUCUGGGCCUUACCUGACACUGAGGAGCGAAAGCGUGGGGAGCGAACAGG
rnacentral:rRNA from 1 species